rnacentral:rRNA from 1 species
UACGUAGGGUGCAAGCGUUGUCCGGAAUUAUUGGGCGUAAAGAGCUCGUAGGCGGUUUGUCGCGUCUGCUGUGAAAACCCGAGGCUCAACCUCGGGCCUGCAGUGGGUACGGGCAGACUAGAGUGCGGUAGGGGAGAUUGGAAUUCCUGGUGUAGCGGUGGAAUGCGCAGAUAUCAGGAGGAACACCAAUGGCGAAGGCAGAUCUCUGGGCCGUAACUGGACGCUGAGGAGCGAAAGCAUGGGGGAGCGAACAGG